rnacentral:rRNA from 1 species
AUUGAACGCUGGCGGCAGGCCUAACACAUGCAAGUCGAGCGGAUGAAGGGAGCUUGCUCCUGGAUUCAGCGGCGGACGGGUGAGUAAUGCCUAGGAAUCUGCCUGGUAGUGGGGGAUAACGUCCGGAAACGGGCGCUAAUACCGCAUACGCCCUGAGGGAGAAAGUGGGGGAUCUUCGGACCUCACGCUAUCAGAUGAGCCUAGGUCGGAUUAGCUAGUUGGUGGGGUAAAGGCCUACCAAGGCGACGAUCCGUAACUGGUCUGAGAGGAUGAUCAGUCACAAGGGAAAGGAGAAAGGGCACAAACUCAUAAGGGAGGCAGGAGGGGGAAAUAUGGAAAAAGGGGAGAAAGCUGAAACCAGCAAGGCGGGGGGGGGAAAGAAGGUAUGCGGAUUGAAAAAAAUUUUAAGGGGGGAGGAAGGGAAGAAAGUAAAUACUUGGGUGUUUGGACUUAACAAAAAAAAAAAAAACGGAAAAACUUGGAG